rnacentral:rRNA from 1 species
AACGAACGCUGGCGGCAUGCCUAACACAUGCAAGUCGAACGAGACCUUCGGGUCUAGUGGCGCACGGGUGCGUAACGCGUGGGAACCUGCCCUUAGGUUCGGAAUAACUCCCCGAAAGGGGUGCUAAUACCGGAUAAUGUCUUCGGACCAAAGAUUUAUCGCCUUUGGAUGGGCCCGCGUUGGAUUAGCUAGUUGGUAGGGUAAAAGCCUACCAAGGCGACGAUCCAUAGCUGGUCUGAGAGGAUGAUCAGCCACACUGGGACUGAGACACGGCCCAGACACCAACGGGAGGCAGCAGUGGGGAGUAUUGGACGAUGGGCGAAAGCCUAGUCAAGCAAUGCCGCGUGAGUGAUGAAGGCCUUAGGGUUGUAAAGCUCUUUUACCCGGGAUGAGAAUGACAGUACCGGGAGAAUAAGCGCCGGCAAACUCCGUG